rnacentral:rRNA from 1 species
AUUGAACGCUGGCGGCAUGCCUAACACAUGCAAGUCGAGCGAGCGGCGGACGGGUGAGUAAUGUCUGGGAAACUGCCUGAUGGAGGGGGCUAACUACUGGAAACGGUAGCUAAUACCGCAUACCAUCAGAUGUGCCCAGAUGGGAUUAGCUAGUCGGGGGGGUAACGGCUCACCUAGUCGACGAUCCCUAGCUGGUCUGAGAGGAUGAACAGACACACUGGAACUGGGACACGGUCCAGACUCCUACGGGAGGCAGCAGUGGGGAAUAUUGCACAAUGGGCGCAAGCCUGAUGCAGCCAUGCCGCGUGUGUGAAGAAGGCCUUCGGGUUGUAAAGCACUUUCAGCGGGGAGGCGUUACCCGCAGAAGAAGCACCGGCUAACUCCGUGCCAGCAGCCGCGGUAAUUC